rnacentral:lncRNA from 1 species
GCAGGGCCAUAUUUUUCAUAUUGAAAUUUAUAACCAAACUUUUAUACAAAACACAAACCAGAGCACUCUACAACUUUUUACUCUAAACUUUAAUCACAUCAAAAAGGAGAUCUCAAAAUAAGAUAAACUCUCAGCCAUCCGGGCCGUACUCAAGGUCCUUCUCGGGAUUAUCUUCUUCUCCCAAAAAUCUUUCUCCUUAAGUUUCACCUCCGAGUUCUCCUUCUCAGACUCCUCCUCAUCACCUCCUCAUCGGGGUCCUAAAAUGUUUUCCCCAAACUGGGAUGAGACUAUGU